GUGGGGAAUAUUGGACAAUGGGCGAAAGCCUGAUCCAGCCAUGCCGCGUGUGUGAAGAAGGUCUUCGGAUUGUAAAGCACUUUAAGUUGGGAGGAAGGGCAGUAAGUUAAUACCUUGCUGUUUUGACGUUACCGACAGAAUAAGCACCGGCUAACUUCGUGCCAGCAGCCGCGGUAAUACGAAGGGUGCAAGCGUUAAUCGGAAUUACUGGGCGUAAAGCGCGCGUAGGUGGUUUUGUAAGUUGGAGGUGAAAUCCCCGGGCUCAACCUGGGAACUGCCUACAAAACUGCAUGACUAGAGUACGGUAGAGGGUAGUGGAAUUUCCUGUGUAGCGGUGAAAUGCGUAGAUAUAGGAAGGAACACCAGUGGCGAAGGCGACUACCUGGACUGAUACUGACACUGAGGUGCGAAAGCGUGGGGAGCAAACAGGAUUAGAAACCCCUGUAGUCC
rnacentral:rRNA from 1 species